GUGGGAAUUUGCGUCCAGAGGGCGCCAGUGCAAUUUUUCAAAUUUGAUUUUUUUAACCUAAAAUGUGCAUUAAAAACACAAAAAUGCGUCCCUACAUUACAAAAAGUGACUUUUUGGGUGGGAGCACACAUUUUGGAUCACUGGACUUUGAAGGGAAUUCCAGCAAAUUUCACUUUAGGAAAUAGAACGACUGCGAAAAACCAAAUAAGAAAACGGUGUAAAUGAUGCCAAAAGUCAACAUAUCGCCGGUAAUCAUGCUGUAAAUCAUUGUGACAAAAGGAC